CUCAAAAAAUGAGAUUUCAAAGCCUAACCCAAAGAUUGCAUGAUCCUUUUUGUAAAGAAACAAAAUACUUUUCUUUUUAAGUCCUUUGGAACCUUUUUCAUCUCUGUUUUACUGCCAGUGGUUGGAGACUUAUUUGCUGUAACUUCUGGAAACUUUCUGUGCUCAUGUUGUGGUGUCCCCGACUCUGAGAGGGAGAGAUUGGGACUGUGGGCCUCUGAGUCAGUGAGCAAGUUGAACUCCAUCGGCCUGGAAUAGGAACCGGAGAAGAGCUGAAAAAGAGGCCCAAGUGAUGUCUGAGUGGCAUAUACAAUUAGGAGGGACUGAUGCUGCAAGGACCGGAUUCAAAUUCCUCCUUUUCACCUGCUAAAGACCUGAAGCGAGACAGUCGCCCCCUCUAGCAAGAGGUGACAAGUUUAGCCAACUUGCAGAAAGGUUGCUGUUUCCUGCACAACUGUGUCACACAUACAACCUAGAAUGAUCUAACUAUGGCAGGGAGUGACAAAGGACUAAAACAAACUUCCACGUUAAGUUAAGGGAUGCUGUCUGGAAGCUUUCUAGACAAUCAUUUUCUCUGGCGUUCUGAUGUCACUGCAAAGCCAAAGAGAUCCAUGGGCCCACACAACUGCAGUAAUGGGGAAACCUUUGAUACCACAUCCUAAGGUUCAUGGGCAAAUUAAACAGCAAAAUAAUGUAUUAUAAAAGUAAUUUAUGGAUUUACAGUGCCUUAUUGGAUUUACAGUGCCGUAUUGCAAGCUGGUGUCACGGCCUGCAAAACGAGGGCGAUGGGAACGGGAGUCCCUUUCGCAAGCCACUUUUGGCUCCAAUACUUUGGCCACCUCAUGAGAAGAGAAGACUCCCUGGAAAAGACC